rnacentral:rRNA from 1 species
GGGGGACCUUCGGGCCUCUUGCCAUCGGAUGUGCCCAGAUGGGAUUAGCUAGUAGGUGGGGUAACGGCUCACCUAGGCGACGAUCCCUAGCUGGUCUGAGAGGAUGACCAGCCACACUGGAACUGAGACACGGUCCAGACUCCUACGGGAGGCAGCAGUGGGGAAUAUUGCACAAUGGGCGCAAGCCUGAUGCAGCCAUGCCGCGUGUAUGAAGAAGGCCUUCGGGUUGUAAAGUACUUUCAGCGGGGAGGAAGGGAGUAAAGUUAAUACCUUUGCUCAUUGACGUUACCCGCAGAAGAAGCACCGGCUAACUCCGUGCCAGCAGCCGCGGUAAUACGGAGGGUGCAAGCGUUAAUCGGAAUUACUGGGCGUAAAGCGCACGCAGCCGGUC